rnacentral:lncRNA from 1 species
UAUAAAAGAACUAGAACAACACUAUUUGCCACCUGGUAUAACAGAUAAACGAAAGGCAAACUAUAUCAUGACAAUAUAUACAGACUUGACUUUUAAAUGUUGAUCUAUGUCAGUGUGCCAUGCACAUCAGUCUACUUUUGCAUGUUCACACUUUUAGUAAUGUUAAUUUUUCAUCAUUGUUAACUGGUUUUGUCACACCUAUGCUAUUUAGAAAUGCUGUCAUCACUAUGAAAUAUAUCUUACAUAACAUACUAAAACUGGUCUAUAUACAAAAGAUAUAGACCUUUGGUGGGUGUUCUUGGAUGUAAUAUAGCCCUCGGGCUAUAUCACAUCCUUGGACACCCACCUCAGGUCUAUAUUUUUGUAUAUACCUGUUUAGUAUGAUAUAUAAUACACAUAUACAAAAUACCAAUAGCCUCUUCAUUGCUGGCAUGCAUGGGUGGGGUGGUGAGACUAGUGGCAACUGUGGUGUGAAAGAUUAGUAUUAUUGUAUAGUAUUAUUAUGUACAUAUUAUCUUAUCUACUCCUGGGUAUAUGGCGGCUAGUAUUAUAGGAGAGAAACUUAAAUUGUAUUAAUUUUGAGAUUAAAAAUAGUUAAAUUAUGGUUAUUUCUUCAGCUGUCUCCGGGCCUAGCUGUCUCUUUAUGGCUUUGUCAAAAGCUGAGAACAAGGAAUUGCCUGCCAAGUCAGUCCAAGGAAACUAGAUGUCAUUAAGCUAGUGGCUAAACAUGAACAGAAUGAGAUAGUUAUUGAGAGCAAUCUGAGAACAAGGGAUUUUAUUCUAAUUGUCUCCUGUGUCUUGUUGAGUUUAAAUAGCAAAAAAUAUCUUUCUUUAAAGGAGAUGGCAAGGCAUGUUCUUUUUUGCCUCAUUUUAAUUCUUUAAACAUCACAUCAAGGACUCACCUGCUGCAGCUUCUUUUGGAAGAAAACUCUCUCACGCCAAACUUUUUCUGCUAUACCUUUUUGUAUGGCUGGAAGUUUUUGGUUGCAGUUUGUAUCAUAACAACCUAAAGAGUAUUACUAAUGUCAUCAGGUUGAGGUGCCUGAAUCGAAAACCUUGUAGCACCAUUAAAAGAGAAAUAUCUUAAUGUUGGUGAGAGUAAAUACAACACUCAUCCUCGGUCUUGUCCUAAAAGCUUCCCUGCUACUGAGAGGUGAGUUCAUUGUUAAUAUGUUUACAGUUUGUUAUCAAUUGAUGCUCAUUGUGUAUGCAUGAUAAUUAUGAUAUUGUUGUUGAUGUGUGUAUUAAUUUAAUUAAGCCCUACUCUUAUGGUUUUGAGUUUAACUAUUCACGAGAUGCUGAGCGAUGCCUCAGAAAGUGUUUAACAUUGUGGCUCAGAAAUGAUAUUGAAGCAAAUGGGACAAAUUAGCUAUUGCUGCUGGUGAAGUAGGAGACAUCAGUUGCUAAAUAUCAAGAUCAACAAAAUUAAGAGCUUUAAUACACCUGUGAUAAAUUUGGAUAGAUUGUUACUAAAUCAUACUUUAAAAUAUUAAGAUAUUUCUAAUUGUGUGUAGGCUUUAUUAGAAUUUAAAAGCAACUUGUUUUUGUUUAUUUAAGUGAAUUUUGUCCUGAGCAAUAUUUAAUUUCUGCUGUUGUCUGCAGACAGUAAACCUGACAGGUUUGUGAAAUUUUAUGCUAACAAAAGACCUUUUCACACUGGCAC